rnacentral:rRNA from 1 species
CAAGUCGAGCGAACUGAUUAGAAGCUUGCUUCUAUGACGUUAGCGGCGGACGGGUGAGUAACACGUGGGCAACCUGCCUGUAAGACUGGGAUAAGUUCGGGAAACCGAAGCUAAUACCGGAUAGGAUCUUCUCCUUCAUGGGAGAUGAUUGAAAGAUGGUUUCGCCUAUCACUUACAGAUGGGCCCGCGGUGCAUUAGCUAGUUGGUGAGGUAACGGCUCACCAAGGCAACGAUGCAUAGCCGACCUGAGAGGGUGAUCGGCCACACUGGGACUGAGACACGGCCCAGACUCCUACGGGAGGCAGCAGUAGGGAUUCUUCCGCAAUGGACGAAAGUCUGACGCAGCAACGCCGCGUGAGUGAUGAAGGCUUUCGGGUCGUAAAACUCUGUUGUUAGGGAAGAACAAGUACGAGAGUAACUGCUCGUACCUUGACGGUACCUAACGAGAAAGCCCCGGCUAACUACGUGCCAGCAGCCGCGGUAAUACGUAGGUGGCAAGCGUUAUCCGGAAUUAUUGGGCGUAAAGCGCGCGCAGGCGGUUUCUUAAGUCUGAUGUGAAAGCCCACGGCUCAACCGUGGAGGGUCAUUGGAAACUGGGGAACUUGAGUGCAGAAGAGAAAAGCGGAAUUCCAC